GUGUCAGCAGCCGCGGUAAUACAGAGGGUGCGAGCGUUGUCCGGAAUCACUGGGCGUAAAGGGCGCGUAGGUGGCGACCCAAGUCCAUGGUGAAAGCUCGUCGCUCAACGACGAGUCGGCCACGGAUACUGGGUUGCUUGAGCACUGUAGAGGCUAAUGGAAUUCCGGGUGUAGCGGUGGAAUGCGUAGAGAUCCGGAAGAACACCGGUGGCGAAGGCGGUUAGCUGGGCAGUUGCUGACACUGAGGCGCGACAGCGUGGGGAGCAAACAGGAUUAGAUACCCUGGUAGUCC
rnacentral:rRNA from 1 species